UGGUAUUUUUAAGGGUUUUUUUUAUAUGUAGGCUAUAUGGCCAUCAAGGCAAGUCACUCGACUUAUAAUAGAGUAGAGCUGAUAUUGGUGUAUAAUAAGCCUGCGGUCCUCUGUGGUAAGCGACUGAUUUGUUGUUGUUUUUUUGUGCAUGUCUUGGUAUGUUUAAUGCCGUUCCUGACGUUCGCCUGCGACAGCCUUCAGGCUAUAUGACAGGAAAAGAUUUAUGUCACCUCAAGACAAGCCUGGAGGAGGAAAUCAGAGGGGAAUUACUAAUCUCACAACAGGACAUAAUGUGCAGAAUCAAGCACCGGCCUUCGGAUGAAAAGGAACAUGUUCGUCACUGUCCCCAGCAGAACAGAAACAGAGUUUCUGAGUGACUGGUGUCUCAUUCCUUAUGGGUAUCGGACACAUUCGGCAGAAAAUACCACACAUAAUACCAUGUUAUAGAUUUGUUAUAAAAAGCAUUAUACAUGAACCUGAAGAUAAACAUAACAUUUUCCAUUUUAGUUCACAGUUGACGCUUGGACUUGCACAGACUUUCACUCCACUGGCAUGAUGUCUAUCAGAUGCUUAUAACUAUAUACCUACCUGUGAUUGGCUCAUCUGUGUCUCAUCACCAGCAGGAAACGACUUCACUUCCUUUAAUAAUGACUUCAUACAGAAUUAUGUGCCGCCACAGUGUCUCCCGGUUUUAUGGUGUUCUUCUAGUGUAAAUGGUCCAGUUUAUUCCGAUGUCACCAAAACACACACACACACACAACGUACAUAAACAGGUUGUGAGACUACUGAGUUCAGAACUCUAUGUUCUGAAUGUCCACCAAUAUCUCAACUGAUAUUCAGGGAUUUAUUAAAAACGUUUAUAUAUAUAUAAUUUAUAAAUAGAAUAAAAUCAUGCAUUUUUACUUAAAUGGUCCUUAUGAUUCAAGGAUGCAUAGCUUUAAAUUGAGGCAGAAAUAUUAUCUGAAUAUUUAAAUUUGACAUCAUAUUUUUUUCCUUCAGAGAGUAACACACACAGUCCUAGCUCACAUUAAUAAAAGAUGUCACCAUUCAACUCCUGGUUAUCAACCAAUUCAUUCUGUUUUCUGUGUAACACACUGAAAAUAAGAAGCCUUUCUGUUUCCAACCCCCCAAAAUGUCCUAAUAAUAUUUAAUUUUUUAUUUAAAAAAAACAUUAAAACCUUUUUCAAAAUGUUUUGUAAUAUUUUAACAUAAAUUAGUUACCCAUGCUUUUAGUCCCCUCUGUAGUUAGUGACUAAACGUCUCUGCUCUUUCUGUUUACAAGUGAGCAGCUUGUUAGUAAUGUCAAACGCAGGAAGUUGUUUCCGUAUGACUCCUCACGCCACUCCUCAGAGCCUCUCUGUCUCUGCCAUCCACCGCAACAUAAAUCAGCAUUUAGAGCACAUGAGUGCGUCUUGGAGCCGGAGUGGCCCGAGGCGAUCUUGUUGGAACAAUGCUGAGAUCAAAGCACUGAGCUUUGACAGCCAAUGAGUGGCUUCCCAUGGCCGAAGCAGCAGAGCGACGCUCACACCUGUACCAGGUGAUUACAGUAGACAUGAUGACAUAAAGAAUGAACAUGCAGAGCAAACAAGAUGAAUUAUAAUUCAAGACUUUAAUGUGAAGAAGACUGACAGAGACACAGAGAGUCAUACACACCUUUAGCAGCGCAUUUGGAAUUCACCGGAAGCAUUUUUUGUCAUGUCUAAAUCUGUAUAUAGCUUUGGGUUACAACUCAGAUUUGUGACUGAGACUGAGAAAAAAAUCUUAAUAGAUUUUUCCUGUGUGUUGAGCACAGACUGUGGAAGACCUUCUUUAACACCACUACCAGGGUGAUUAUUACACAUCUCCUGCACUGGGCACAAAGUAGACUGUGAUAUAUUUUCUACUCCAACUCAAAAAGAAGAAGAUAUUACUCCGGCAUGUGACCUUCGGGAUGACAGAAUCUUGCAUCAUGUAAUAAAAUGAUAGAGGAAGUCUUUCCCUCCCUCAGACGCUUGGUCAAUUGCUUGCUUAAGGGUUUGUAGCCAUGAAUCUGAGUUGAAUGGAGCUGAGAUAAUUUUUGUAAAAAAAAAAAAAAAAAAAAAAAAAAAAGAAUAUUCUUUUCUCAAUUUUUAUAAUUGUGUAGAGAGUUGUAAAUAAUUGUCAUUUGAAAAUGUUGUAGUAAAA